GCGGCGGACGGGUGAGUAACACGUGGGUAACCUGCCUGUAAGACUGGGAUAACUCCGGGAAACCGGAGCUAAUACCGGAUAGUUCCUUGAACCGCAUGGUUCAAGGAUGAAAGACGGUUUCGGCUGUCACUUACAGAUGGACCCGCGGCGCAUUAGCUAGUUGGUGGGGUAAUGGCUCACCAAGGCGACGAUGCGUAGCCGACCUGAGAGGGUGAUCGGCCACACUGGGACUGAGACACGGCCCAGACUCCUACGGGAGGCAGCAGUAGGGAAUCUUCCGCAAUGGACGAAAGUCUGACGGAGCAACGCCGCGUGAGUGAUGAAGGUUUUCGGAUCGUAAAGCUCUGUUGUUAGGGAAGAACAAGUGCGAGAGUAACUGCUCGCACCUUGACGGUACCUAACCAGAAAGCCACGGCUAACUACGUGCCAGCAGCCGCGGUAAUACGUAGGUGGCAAGCGUUGUCCGGAAUUAUUGGGCGUAAAGGGCUCGCAGGCGGUUUCUUAAGUCUGAUGUGAAAGCCCCCGGCUCAACCGGGGAGGGUCAUUGGAAACUGGGAAACUUGAGUGCAGAAGAGGAGAGUGGAAUUCCACGUGUAGCGGUGAAAUGCGUAGAGAUGUGGAGGAACACCAGUGGCGAAGGCGACUCUCUGGUCUGUAACUGACGCUGAGGAGCGAAAGCGUGGGGAGCGAACAGGAUUAGAUACCCUGGUAGUCCACGCCGUAAACGAUGAGUGCUAAGUGUUAGGGGGUUUCCGCCCCUUAGUGCUGCAGCUAACGCAUUAAGCACUCCGCCUGGGGAGUACGGUCGCAAGACUGAAACUCAAAGGAAUUGACGGGGGCCCGCACAAGCGGUGGAGCAUGUGGUUUAAUUCGAAGCAACGCGAAGAACCUUACCAGGUCUUGACAUCCUCUGACAACCCUAGAGAUAGGGCUUUCCCUUCGGGGACAGAGUGACAGGUGGUGCAUGGUUGUCGUCAGCUCGUGUCGUGAGAUGUUGGGUUAAGUCCCGCAACGAGCGCAACCCUUGAUCUUAGUUGCCAGCAUUCAGUUGGGCACUCUAAGGUGACUGCCGGUGACAAACCGGAGGAAGGUGGGGAUGACGUCAAAUCAUCAUGCCCCUUAUGACCUGGGCUACACACGUGCUACAAUGGACAGAACAAAGGGCUGCAAGACCGCAAGGUUUAGCCAAUCCCAUAAAUCUGUUCUCAGUUCGGAUCGCAGUCUGCAACUCGACUGCGUGAAGCUGGAAUCGCUAGUAAUCGCG
rnacentral:rRNA from 2 species